CUCUUUUAGAAAAGUUGUUUAAAAUAUGAUGUAACUCUCCUCUUUUUGAGUACCAAAUUUUAAGUUUUCAAAGGUUUUGUAUAGAAGAACUUUACAAAUCCUUGGUAUUUCUAUUUUCUUUUCUACAUCAGUAAAAUGACCCCUUGUCUGAGGGAGGGUUGUUCUCAACCUGACAAUAACAAACACAGGUCAAAGUACGGCCUUUUACACAGGGCUUUGAUACAGACCAAACAGCAAGCUAUAAAGGAUCCCAAAAUUAUUAGCGUACACAAUUCGAACAGGAAAACCAACGAUCUAAUUUAUAUAUCCAAACGGGAAAAUACCGGCAAUGAACAACAUCAACAAACGAUAACUGCUGAACGACAGGCCCCUGAAUCAAUCAGGACAGGUGCAUAACAUGCAGCGGCUAUAGAUAGUUUUGUUUUGCCAACAU
rnacentral:lncRNA from 1 species